ACAAAUGCCAAAUAAAUUCAAUUAAAUCAAAAUAAGGAAGAAAUCGAAUUCUACCCUAUUUCACACGUCUAAACCGUUUCUCCCCUCUCUCCUCACUCCCUAAAUCUCUCCCACAUCUUUAACUACCUCUCCCUUUAAUUUAAAUCACCAAAACAGUUUAUCUUCUUUCUCCUAUCCGUUCUGUGCAACAAAGAAAACAAGCAUUCAUUCUUUCAACUUCUACUCAUACUCAAGAAACUGAGAAAAGCCAAAUUUAGGAGAGAAGGCCCUACGUCGUUUCAUCCUUGUUUCAUUCACAAUCGGUGAAUCAUCGCAAGGGAAUCGUGAUCGCAAGGGAAAGAACGUAAU